rnacentral:rRNA from 1 species
CCUACGGGAGGCAGCAGUGAGGAAUAUUGGUCAAUGGACGCGAGCCUGAACCAGCCAAGUCGCGUGAAGGAUGACUGCCCUACGGGUUGUAAACUUCUUUUGUACAAGAAUAAAGUUACUCACGUGUGCCGUUUUGUAUGUACUUUAUGAAUAAGAAUCGGCUAACUCCGUGCCAGCAGCCGCGGUAAUACGGAGGAUCCGAGCGUUAUCCGGAUUUAUUGGGUUUAAAGGGAGCGUAGAUGGGGUGUUAAGUUAGUGGUGAAAGUUUGCGGCUCAACCGUAAAAUUGCAAGUGAUACUGGCAGUCGGGAGGACAGAUGCGGCAGGCGGAAUGCGUGGUGUAGCGGUGAAAUGCUUAGAUAUCACGAAGAACUCCGAUUGCGAAGGCAGCUUACUAAUCUGCAACUGACAUUGAUGCACGAAAGUGUGGGUAUCAAACAGGAUUAGAUACCCGUGUAGUC